rnacentral:rRNA from 1 species
CCUACGGGAGACAGCAGUGGGGAAUAUUGCACAAUGGGCGAAAGCCUGAUGCAGCAACGCCGCGUGAGCGAUGAAGGCCUUCGGGUCGUAAAGCUCUGUCCUCAAGGAAGAUAAUGACGGCACUUGAGGAGGAAGCCCCGGCUAACUACGUGUCAGCAGCCGCGGUAAUACGUCGGGCGGUAGCGUUAUUCGGAAUUAUUGGGCGUAAAGGGUGCGUAGGUGGGUUUUUAAGUCAGAGGUGAAAGGGUACGGCUCAACCGUAGUAAGCCUUUGAAACUGGGGAACUUGAGUGCAGGAGAGGAGAGUGGAAUGCCUAGUGUAGCAGUGAAAUGCGUAGAUAUUAGGAGGAACACCAGUUGCGAAGGCGGCUCUCUGGACUGUAACUGACACUGAGGCACGAAAGCGUGGGGAGCAAACAGGAUUAGAUACCCGUGUAGUC